GGCCGACCAAAAGGAGUUGCUUAGAUUCAACUUCUGCAAAGGGAGUACUUUUUUCACUUCACCAGUGACACUGCAGUACAAAGUGAUUAAGAUUCUGCAUGCCAAUCUAGAUGAGUGACCCCAUUAAGAUGCUACAUAGAUCAAGUGACAGGGACCCCUUGUGUUGCUUUGUAUAGACGGAGGGCGCAUGGGAAGAAACAUGGCCACUGCUUUUUACUUUCAUUCACUAUGAUAUCUAUGAUUCAAACUCCAAAUCAUUCCCUCUUGGUCCUCUCACUGCAAUGAAGACUUUCUUGUUAGCCUCGGAUGGUGGAACUUCUGGAUCAAUGGGACAUUUGCAUUCCCUGGCCCUCUUGAGAAAAUCAGGACAUGGGUGCUUGAUUCAGAGGCCUUCUCCGUCAAAUGAUUCUCUUACCGGUCACUCUCAUCAUUUUCUCUGCGUGGUCUCCACUAGAUAUUUCACUGCAUUAUGAACUUGGGGCUCUGAGGGCGAGCAUAAAAUGUGCUUUCGACGUGGGUGAUUUCAUUUCUUCGACUUCUUAGCGAUCGUUACCGACAAUGCCCGUCAUUCCAUCUGUUGCGUUCUCUCUCUCCACUGCAACAGCAAAACGUCACCGUAACUCUUCCCAUUGUUACAAAU
rnacentral:lncRNA from 1 species